UACGUAGGGGGCUAGCGUUGUCCGGAUUUAUUGGGCGUAAAGAGCGUGUAGGCGGCCAGGUAGGUCUGCUGUGAAAACUCGAGGCUCAACCUCGAGACGUCGGCGGAAACCAUCUGGCUAGAGUCCGGAAGAGGAGAGUGGAAUUCCUGGUGUAGCGGUGAAAUGCGCAGAUAUCAGGAGGAACACCAAUUGCGAAGGCAGCUCGCUGGGACGUUACUGACGCUGAGACGCGAAAGCGUGGGGGAGCAAACAGG
rnacentral:rRNA from 1 species